UUAUUUUACAGGUGAACCUGCGGAAGGAUCAUUA
rnacentral:rRNA from 2 species